rnacentral:rRNA from 1 species
GGGGAAUUUUGCGCAAUGGGGGAAACCCUGACGCAGCAACGCCGCGUGAGUGAUGAAGGCUUUCGGGUCGUAAAGCUCUGUCUAGAGGGAAGAAAUGAUAGUCGGUUAAUACCCGGUUUUCUUGACGGUACCUCUGAAGGAAGCACCGGCUAACUCCGUGCCAGCAGCCGCGGUAAUACGGAGGGUGCAAGCGUUGUUCGGAUUUAUUGGGCGUAAAGCGCGUGUAGGCGGUUUGUUAAGUCUGAUGUGAAAGCCCUGGGCUCAACCUGGGAAGUGCAUUGGAAACUGGCAGACUUGAAUACGGGAGAGGGUAGUGGAAUUCCUAGUGUAGGAGUGAAAUCCGUAGAUAUUAGGAGGAACACCGGUGGCGAAGGCGGCUACCUGGACCGAUAUUGACGCUGAGACGCGAAAGCGUGGGGAGCAAAC